GUUUCCGUAGUGUAAUGGUUAUCACAUCUGCAAAACAUGCAGAAGGUCCUGAGUUCAAAAUGCAGCUGAGACA